rnacentral:rRNA from 1 species
UACGGAGGGUGCGAGCGUUGUCCGGAAUCACUGGGCGUAAAGGGCGCGUAGGUGGCGCGGGUAGUCAACGGUGAAAGUUCGGGGCUCAACCCCGAAAUCGGCCGUCGAUACUCCCGGGCUUGAGCACUGUAGAGGCUAAUGGAAUUCCGGGUGUAGCGGUGGAAUGCGUAGAGAUCCGGAAGAACACCGGUGGCGAAGGCGGUUGAGCUGGGCAGUUGCUGACACUGAGGCGCGACAGCGUGGGGAGCAAACAGG